GGGCAUGUAGUUCAUUGGUAGAAUGCUGCGUUGACAUCGUAGAGGUAGCAAGUUCAAUUCUUGCCAUGCCCACCA
rnacentral:tRNA from 1 species